AGCUUUGUCCAGUAGUAGUAUCAUAGUCAAUAAGAUUUAUCCAAAGUGCAAUAUUGCCAAUUGAAAACUUUCCCUGAUACCCUGCCAUGAAAACUUGUUAUAGUUGGCAUCGGCAAUUUUUGACAGUCCCUAUGAAGA
rnacentral:snRNA from 1 species